rnacentral:rRNA from 1 species
AGUGAACGCUGGCGGUAGGCCUAACACAUGCAAGUCGAACGGCAGCACAGUAAGAGCUUGCUCUUACGGGUGGCGAGUGGCGGACGGGUGAGGAAUACAUCGGAAUCUACUUUUUCGUGGGGGAUAACGUAGGGAAACUUACGCUAAUACCGCAUACGACCUACGGGUGAAAGCAGGGGAUCUUCGGACCUUGCGCGAUUGAAUGGGCCGAUGUCGGAUUAGCUAGUUGGCGGGGUAAAGGCCCACCAAGGCGACGAUCCGUAGCUGGUCUGAGAGGAUGAUCAGCCACACUGGAACCGAGACACGGUCCAGACUCCUACGGGAGGCAGCAGUGGGGAAUAUUGGACAAUGGGCGCAAGCCUGAUCCAGCCAUACCGCGUGGGUGAAGAAGGCCUUCGGGUUGUAAAGCCCUUUUGUUGGGAAAGAAAAGCAGCAGGUUAAUACCCCGCUGUUCUGACGGUACCCAAAGAAUAAGCACCGGCUAACUUCGUG